UUAUAUGAUGAUUAUUUUAUCACGACGGUCGACAUAUCCACACGUUGGUAAUUGAUGAAAAUGCCUAUGACUAGGCUUUGAUCUGAAA
rnacentral:snoRNA from 1 species